UACAUUAAAACCCCAGCCCCAUAACCUAACAGUUGUCAUUUCGAUCUUCGCCGCCUUGGACAUCUGAUCGUACCAGUAUUCAGUGUUGAUCAGGCAGCUCAAUCAUGGCCACGCCCGGGGACUUCUUCCCACCUACAGGGGCAGGGCUAGCGCCGCCCUUGCUGACCGCAGCUUCAAUAUUGUCUGGUGUGAUUACUUUCAGCUUAGGAUUUAUUCUGUUGAGUAUAUCUGAUCUCACCGAAGGGCCAAGAGGGCCAACAGGAACUUUGGGAAUCACCGGUUCUACUGGAGUUGCACCAACAGGAUUAACUGGUCUAACUGGUACAGCUAAUACAGUAACUGGUUUAACUGGAAUGACAGGGCCAACUGGAGAUACAGGACCAGGUAUAACCGGUGCAACUGGUACAGCGAAUACAGAUAUCUGGUGCAACUGGACCUACAGGAUUUAAUGGAGAUGCAGGACCAACAGUUACCGGCGCAUCUGGCACAACUGGUGCUACCGGUGCAACCGGCGCAACUGGUGUUGCAGCCUCGGGAUAAGAGUGCGAAAAAAUACCUUGUGCCAGGUAGACGGACAAAUAAAAGAUUUUCCCCCA